CAAGCAAUGCAUGGGCGCAAGCCUGAUCCGCAAGCCGCGUGCAGGAAGAAGGCCUUCGGGUUGUAAACAUGCUUUUGUACGGAACGAAAAGGUCCUGGUUAAUACCUGGGGCUAAUGACGGUACCGUAAGAAUAAGCACCGGCUAACUACGUGCCAGCAGCCGCGGUAAUACGAUGUAUUCCAAAAAA
rnacentral:rRNA from 1 species